rnacentral:rRNA from 1 species
AUUGAACGCUGGCGGCAGGCCUAACACAUGCAAGUGGGGCGGAUGAAGGGGGUUUGCCCUUGGUUCAGGCGCCGGCGGGGUGGGAAUUGCCUGGGAACUUCCUGGGAGUGGGGGGUAAAGGUCGGAAACGGGGGCUUAUACCCGAAAAGGUCUGGGGGAGGAAAGGGGGGGUCUUCGGGCCCCAAGGUUUUCGGUGAGCCUAGGUCGGAUUAGCUAGUUGGUGGGGUAAAGGCCUACCAAGGCGACGAUCCGUAACUGGUCUGAGAGGAUGAUCAGUCACACUGGAACUGAGACACGGUCCAGACUCCUACGGGAGGCAGCAGUGGGGAAUAUUGGACAAUGGGCGAAAGCCUGAUCCAGCCAUGCCGCGUGUGUGAAGAAGGUCUUCGGAUUGUAAAGCACUUUAAGUUGGGAGGAAGGGCAGUAAGUUAAUACCUUGCUGUUUUGACGUUACCAACAGAAUAAGCACCGGCUAACUUCGUG